UCCAUCAUCUUCCUCCUCUACCCAUUUAAAGAGAGUGUUCUUGUGUGUGUCAGUGUGUGAGAGAGAAAAAUGGAGCCACCAACUACACAAGCCAUCGGCAGGAACUCCACUUAUCCGCCGCCGGAAGACGGACAAGACAAAGUCGUCGACGAAUGUUGUUCUUGUUGUUAUGACUGCUUCGCCAGCUGCUUUGAUUGGUUAUGCUGCUGAAAUAGAGAUUCUAAUUGGAUAGAAAUCUUCUUAUGAUGUAAUGUUUUUAACUUUAUUAUGAUUUGAUAAUGGUAGAUUUUGAUAUAGAAAAUGAGGAAAGAUCAACUUUAUCUUUAAUGUUUGAUGUU